rnacentral:rRNA from 1 species
GACGAACGCUGGCGGCGUGCUUAACACAUGCAAGUCGAACGGAAAGGCCCUGCUUGCAGGGUACUCGAGUGGCGAACGGGUGAGUAACACGUGGGUGAUCUGCCCUUCACUUCGGGAUAAGCCUGGGAAACUGGGUCUAAUACCGGUUAGUAGCCAUUUUUAGUGUGAUGGUUGGAAAGUUUUUUCGGUGUAGGAUGAGCUCGCGGCCUAUCAGCUUGUUGGUGGGGUAAUGGCCUACCAAGGCGGCGACGGGUAGCCGGCCUGAGAGGGUGGACGGCCACAUUGGGACUGAGAUGCGGCCCGGACUCCUACGGAAGGCAGCAGUGGGGAAUAUUGCACAAUGGGCGCAAGCCUGAUGCAGCGACGCCGCGUGGGGGAUGACGGCCUUCGGGUUGUAAACUCCUUUCGCUAGGGACGAAGCUUUUGUGACGGUACCUAGAUAAGAAGCACCGGCUAACUACGUG